rnacentral:lncRNA from 1 species
UUUGUUAUGCUACUAAUACUUGCUCUGCUAUUCUGCCCAAGCCUUGCUGAGGAAGAGUUACGGGGCGUAAAACAAAAAAAUACACUGAUCGGUCAUACUAUGUGUAAUGAUUCCCCCAUUCACGAUAACUAAUAAAUAAAAAGAGAAAAAGAAAAGCCAUUCCAUUUCGACAAAAGACCCACACCCAAGUUCCAUAGCUUUUGGUUCGCUAUCCCGAUCAU